CCGCGCCUGGCCGAAAAAACUUUGUAAGUCAAUAUUACUAUAGUUUAACAUUAGAAUGUGGACAUGUGAUUUAAUCGCUGUAGCUAAAAUACGUCAAAUAUACAUUGUCAUGUGCUUAAACAUGAUGCUAACCCUGACAGGAGGAAGGAAAGUAAUAUUCUUUCAGUGUGGUUCCGGAGAGCGUUUCUUUUAUUUUCUACCAAUUAACCCAGCAUUGCUUUUAAACAACCAUCUGAAGGAGCAGAGAGGCAGGGUAGAAGACAGAAAGGGGGUCUAUGUGGUAACUAAAGAAUGUUUCUGUUUUGUAAUUAUUGUGUGUGUGCGUGUGGUUUUUUUUUUGUUGUUUGCUUAAGAGAAUCAAAAACUGAAAAAAAUGAGAAUACAGGAAAUGGCUCUUGUAUAUAUUUUUUUGCCAUGUUUACCACUUGUGAAUGCUCUGCUGUCUUUGCUUCAAGAGAGAUUUGUUCACUGCCCAGCUCGUUUUGUGUCCUGAGCCCUAUGCCCAGCCCACCUUAUAAAUCAUGCCUGUUUAGAUGUUUGAUUUUGUUCUGUGUGCCAUUGUCAUCUUAAGGGUGUAUAACUCAGACAUGCCAGACAUCAAAUUAAGCUCAAAUUAAGCUCUCGUUUAAAUGUUUAAACACCUAAUUUAUAUUCUAAUUGAUCCCAGCCACUGAUGCAUGUACUUUAGCUACUUCUGCUAAAUAAGCAUAUUAAUUUUCCACAUCAGACCAUCAGAUCUUAAGAACCAACAGUUAUCUAGAAUUCCGUGUCUACUAAUGUUUCAUCUGCAUGCAGCCUUUAUUGAUUUUGUAGCAAAAUAUAAAGUGAUCAUUAUGUAGCUUCUAGAUUAAAAAAUUCUGUGCGUGAAGUUGCUUUGUAAAGAGCAUGUGAAAUUAAUGGGACAGCGUGUCCUUUGUGUUAGAUGUUAGAGCAAAAGAAAGGGCUUAUAGUAUUAGUAUUGGAGCACUUUGAAGAUAGGUAUUUUCAGAAACGAUGUAGGAGUUAAAAGUUACAUUUUAAAUUUUAGAAAAAGAUAUGAUGGCAAUUGGAAAUAGUCACAAUGAAGUUCUUCAUCCAGCAGGUGUUUAACAGUGUUAUUUUGCCAUUGAUAAUGUGUAAACUGUGAGUGAUUUACAAUAAAUGAUUAAGAAUUCA